rnacentral:rRNA from 1 species
GUGAGGAAUAUUGCGCAAUGGAGGCAACUCUGACGCAGCCAUGCCGCGUGCAGGAAGAAGGCGCUACGCGUUGUAAACUGCUUUUAACCGGGAAGAAACCCCAGGACGUGUCCUGGGUUGACGGUACCGGAGGAAUAAGCACCGGCUAACUUCGUGCCAGCAGCCGCGGUAAUACGAAGGGUGCAAGCGUUAUCCGGAUUCAUUGGGUUUAAAGGGUGCGUAGGCGGAGCGUUAAGUCAGAGGUGAAAUCCUGCAGCUUAACUGUAGACUUGCCAUUGAUACUGGCGAUCUUGAGUGCGCUUGAAGUGGGCGGAAUGUGCCGUGUAGCGGUGAAAUGCUUAGAUAUGGCACAGAACACCAAUUGCGAAGGCAGCUCACUAAGGCGAUACUGACGCUGAGGCACGAAAGCGUGGGGAUCGAACAGGAUUAGAUACCCGAGUAGUCC